rnacentral:rRNA from 1 species
UGGGACUAAGCAAUGCUAGUCGAACGACCCGAACUAUGUCGGGAAGUGGCACACGGCUCAGUAACACGUAGCUAACCUAACCUAAGGACGGAGAAAACCUCGGGAAACUGGGGUUAAUAACCGAUAGGUAUGAUGUCCUGGAAUGGUAUCAUGCCCAAAGGUGUUCACAGCAUGUUGUUAACAUGCCUUAGGAUGGGGCUGCGGCUGAUCAGGCUGUUGUCCAGGUAAUGGCUCACCAAACCUUUGACCAGUACGGGCCAUGACAGUGGUAGCCCGGAGAUGGACACUGACACAAGGGUCCAGGUUCUACGGAACGCAGCAUGCGCUAAACCUCCUCAAUGCACUCAAGUGCGAAGGGGUUACCUCGAGUGCCACCUGAUGAAGGUGGUUUUUGUAUAGUAUAACACGCUAUUCGAAUAAGAGGGGGGCAAGACUGGUGUCAGCCGCCGCGGUAACACCAGCCCCUCGAGUGGUGGGGAUGAUUAUUUGGCCUAUAGCGUCCGUAGCCGGCCAUGC